GAGAUAGCUGGUUCUCCCCGAAAUAGCUUUAGGGCUAGCCUCAGGGAAAAGAUUGCAGGCGGUAGAGCACUGAUCAGGAGAGGGACCUACCCGGUUACCAAACCCAGUCAAACUCCGAAUGGCUGCAAUCAUACCUGGGAGUCAGACUGCGACUAAUAAGGGCCGUAGUCAAAAGGGAAACAGCCCAGACCAUCAGCUAAGGUCCCCAAUGCCGUGCUAAGUGGCGAAGGAUGUGGCAUUUCAUAAACAACCAGGAUGUUGGCUCAGAAGCAGCCACCAUUUAAAGAGUGCGUAAUAGCUCACUGGUCGAGAGACGCUGCGCCGAAAAUGUCCGGGGCUCAAGCACGGAACCGAAGCUAUGGCAUGAUAGCAAUAUCAUGGGUAGGGGAGCGUUCUUAUAAGGAAGAAGCAUGACCGGAAGGACAUGUGGACGAAUAAGAAGUGAGAAUGCCGGUAUGAGUAUCGAAAAGAAAGGUGAGAAUCCUUUCCACCGAAAGCCCGAGGGUUCCUGAGCAACGAUCGUCGACUCAGGGUAAGUCGGGACCUAAGCCGAGGCGGAAAGCGUAGGCGAUGGACAACAGGUUGAAAUUCCUGUACCGGAUCAAGUCGAUUGAGCGAAGGAGCGACGCAGGAGGGCACAUGAUCGCGCGGCUGGAAGAGCGCGUCCAAGUGCGUAUGUUGCCGCAGAGGAAAACCCCUGCGGCUAAAAGCAGAGACAUGAUGGGGAGUUAAAGGAAACUUUGACGAACUCAUGAAUCCCACACUGCCAAGAAAAACUUCUAGCGAGACAAGAUCCGCCCGUACCGUAAACCGACACAGGUAGGCGGGGAGAGAAUCCUAAGGUGCGCGGGAAAACCCUCGUUAAGGAACUCGGCAAAUUGCAUCCGUAACCUAGGGAGAAGGAUGGCCCCCGGUCAGUGAAGAGCAGAAACGCUCAGAGCUAAAAGGGGCGGCAGAAAAGAGGCCCAAGCAACUGUUUACCAAAAACACAGGUGCCUGCGAAAGCGAAAGCUGAAGUAUAGGUGCUGACGCCUGCCCGGUGCCGGAAGGUUAAGGAGAGAAGUUAGCGAAAGCGAAGCAUCGAACUGAAGCCCCGGUGAACGGCGGCCGUAACUAUAACGGUCCUAAGGUAGCGAAAUUCCUUGUCGGGUAAGUUCCGACCCGCACGAAAGGCGUAAUGAUUUGGGCACUGUCUCAACGAGGGACCCGGUGAAAUUGAAAUACCUGUGAAGAUGCAGGUUACCCGCGACUGGACAGAAAGACCCCAUGGAGCUUCACUGCAGCUUGAGAUUGAAUCCCGGUGACAGAUGCACAGGAUAGGUGGGAGGCGCCGAAGCAUUGCCUUAGGGCGGUGCGGAGCCGAUGUUGGGAUACCACCCUUCUGUUGCUGAGAUUCUAACGCGAGGAGUAACGACCCUGCGGACCCUCUCAGGCAGGCGGUUUGACUGGGGCGGUCGCCUCCGAAAGAGUAACGGAGGCGCCCAAAGGUUCCCUCAGGCCGGACAGAAACCGGCCGAAGAGUGCAAAGGCAGAAGGGAGCUUGACUGCGAGACCAACAAGUCGAGCAGGGACGAAAGUCGGGCUUAGUGAUCCGGUGGUACUGGGUGGAAAGGCCAUCGCUCAACGGAUAAAAGCUACCCUGGGGAUAACAGGC
rnacentral:rRNA from 1 species